rnacentral:rRNA from 1 species
UACGUAGGGACCAAGCGUUGUUCGGAUUUAUUGGGCGUAAAGAGCUCGUAGGCGGUUUGUCGCGUCUGCUGUGAAAACCGGAGGCUCAACCUCCGGCCUGCAGUGGGUACGGGCAGACUAGAGUGCGGUAGGGGAGAUUGGAAUUCCUGGUGUAGCGGUGGAAUGCGCAGAUAUCAGGAGGAACACCGAUGGCGAAGGCAGAUCUCUGGGCCGUAACUGACGCUGAGGAGCGAAAGCAUGGGGAGCGAACAGG